rnacentral:rRNA from 1 species
UGCAUAUGGUGGAUGCCUUGGCGAUCACAGGCGAUGAAGGACGUAGUAGCUUGCGAAAAGCUGCGGGGAGCCGGCAAACAGGCUUUGAUCCGCAGAUGUCCGAAUGGGGAAACCCGGCCCGCAAGGGUCAUCCCUGGCUGAAUACAUAGGCCAGUGGAGGCGAACGCGCUGAACUGAAACAUCUAAGUAGGCGCAGGAAAGAAAUCAACCGAGAUUCCGAAAGUAGUGGCGAGCGAAAUCGGAACAGCCAGCAAUCUUUAGCCAUCGUGUUAGCAGAACGGUCUGGAAAGUCCGGCCAUAGCGGGUGAUAGCCCCGUACGCGAAAACAUGGUGGUGGAACUAGGUUUGCAACAAGUAGGGCGGGACACGUGAAAUCCUGUCUGAACAUGGGGGGACCAUCCUCUAAGGCUAAAUACUCGUGAUCGACCGAUAGUGAACCAGUACCGUGAGGGAAAGGUGAAAGAACCCGGAGGGGAGUG